UACAGAGGGUGCAAGCGUUGUUCGGAAUUACUGGGCGUAAAGCGAGUGUAGGCGGCUUAUUAAGUCAGAUGUGAAAUCCCUUGGCUCAACUGAGGAACUGCAUCUGAAACUGGUAAGCUUGAGUGUCGGAGGGGAUGGUAGAAUUCCUGGUGUAGAGGUGAAAUUCGUAGAUAUCAGGAGGAAUACCUGUGGCGAAGGCGACCAUCUGGAAGACAACUGACGCUGAGACUCGAAAGCGUGGGUAGCAAAC
rnacentral:rRNA from 1 species